ACGGCUCACCAAGACUUCGAUGGGUAGCCGGCCUGAGAGGGUGAACGGCCACACUGGAACUGAGACACGGUCCAGACUCCUACGGGAGGCAGCAGUGGGGAAUAUUGCACAAUGGAGGAAACUCUGAUGCAGCGACGCCGCGUGAAUGAUGAAGGCCUUCGGGUCGUAAAAUUCUGUCCUAGGGGACGAUAAUGACGGUACCCUAGGAGGAAGCCCCGGCUAACUACGUGCCAGCAGCCGCGGUAAUACGUAGGGGGCGAGCGUUGUCCGGAAUUAUUGGGCGUAAAGGGUUCGCAGGCGGUCUUUUAAGUCAGAUGUGAAAGGCUACGGCUCAACCGUGGUAAGCAUUUGAAACUGAAAGACUUGAGUUAAGGAGAGGAAAGUGGAAUUCCUAGUGUAGCGGUGAAAUGCGUAGAUAUUAGGAGGAAUACCAGUGGCGAAGGCGACUUUCUGGACUUAUACUGACGCUGAGGAACGAAAGCGUGGGGAACAAACAGGAUUAGAUACCCUGGUAGUCCACGCCGUAAACGUUG
rnacentral:rRNA from 1 species